UUUAUGGAGAGUUUGAUCCUGGCUCAGGAUGAACGCUGGCGGCGUGCCUAAUACAUGCAAGUCGAGCGAACGAGAAGCUUGCUUCUCUGAUGUUAGCGGCGGACGGGUGAGUAACACGUGGAUAACCUACCUAUAAGACUGGGAUAACUUCGGGAAACCGGAGCUAAUACCGGAUAAUAUUUUGAACCGCAUG
rnacentral:rRNA from 1 species